GACGAACGCUGGCGGCGUGCCUAAUACAUGCAAGUUGAGCGAUGAAGAUUGGUGCUUGCACCAAUUUGAAGAGCAGCGAACGGGUGAGUAACGCGUGGGGAAUCUGCCUUUGAGCGGGGGACAACAUUUGGAAACGAAUGCUAAUACCGCAUAACAACUUUAAACAUAAGUUUUAAGUUUGAAAGAUGCAAUUGCAUCACUCAAAGAUGAUCCCGCGUUGUAUUAGCUAGUUGGUGAGGUAAAGGCUCACCAAGGCGAUGAUACAUAGCCGACCUGAGAGGGUGGUCGGCCACAUUGGGACUGAGACACGGCCCAAACUACUACGGGAGGCAGCAGUAGGGAAUCUUCGGCAAUAGACGAAAGUCUGACCGAGCAACGCCGCGUGAGUGAAGAAGGUUUUCGGAUCGUAAAACUCUGUUGGUAGAGAAGAACGUUGGUGAGAGUGGAAAGCUCAUCAAGUGACGGUAACUACCCAGAAAGGGACGGCUAACUACGUG
rnacentral:rRNA from 1 species